GGCUAUCUGGUCGAUCCGCAAACCUCGGAGACCAUCGCCUCGGUGCUGAAAUCGACCGCGUCGAUCCGGCAGAUCGCCAAUGUGGUGAACGUCGAGUCCACGUCCUUCGACGUGCUGAUCGACACCACCGACACCGGUGCCGGCUGGGCGACCGAGGUGGACCCGACCGCCGAGACCGGCACGCCGACCAUCGAGCGCAUCACCAUCCCGCUGCACGAGCUUUCGGCGCUGCCGAAGAUCUCGCAGCGGCUGUUGGACGACAGCGCUUUCGACAUCGAAGGCUGGCUUGCGGGGCGCAUCGCCGACAAGUUCGCCCGCGCCGAGGCCAACGCUUUCGUCUCAGGCGACGGGGUCGACAAGCCCAUUGGCUUUUUGACCUACAACACCGCCGACAACGGCAGCGAGGUCUGGGGCGAGCUGGGCCACGUCAAGACCGGCACCGACGCCGAUUUCGACGCCACCAACCCCGGCGACGCCAUCGUCGAUCUGGUCUAUGCGCUGGGCGCCCAGUACCGCGCCAACGGCACCUUCGUGAUGAACUCGAAGACCGCCGGACGCGUGCGCAAGAUGAAGGACGGCGACGGCCGCUUCCUGUGGUCCGACGGCCUGGCCGCCGGAGAGCCAGCC
rnacentral:rRNA from 1 species